rnacentral:rRNA from 1 species
UACGUAGGGUGCAAGCGUUGUCCGGAAUUAUUGGGCGUAAAGAGCUCGUAGGCGGUCUGUCGCGUCGGAUGUGAAAACCCAGGGCUCAACCCUGGGCCUGCAUUCGAUACGGGCAGACUAGAGUUCGGUAGGGGAGACUGGAAUUCCUGGUGUAGCGGUGAAAUGCGCAGAUAUCAGGAGGAACACCGGUGGCGAAGGCGGGUCUCUGGGCCGAAACUGACGCUGAGGUGCGAAAGCGUGGGAGCAAACAGG